GACGAAGGUGGCAAGCGUUACUCGGAAUCACUGGGCUUAAAGGGCGCGUAGGCGGCGAGCCAAGUCGGGUGUGAAAUCCUUCGGCUCAACCGAAGAAUUGCAUUCGAUACUGGCCCGCUGGAGUGCGGGAGGGGAGAGUGGAACUCCAGGUGUAGCGGUGAAAUGCGUAGAUAUCUGGAGGAACGCCGGUGGCGAAAGCGACUCUCUGGACCGCAACUGACGCUGAGGCGCGAAAGCCAGGGGAGCAAACGGG
rnacentral:rRNA from 1 species